AUGUUUUCUUAAAUGUUAAAAUGUUUUCUUAAAUGUAAAUUAGUCUCCAGUUAUAUAAAAGUGUUUCCCACUCUGAUAGUAAACACACACAGUAAACAUUAAAGUGUAACCUGACACCUCUCAGCGGACGGUAUGUCCUGCGUUCUCGUGACGUCACAAGUCUUCCCGCCCGGUGAUUGGCUGUGUCGCUCUUUCCUGCUAAUUCACGCCCCGCCCCUCCGCCCUGUAACACCGGCUGCUGCUCCCAAAACAGACCCUCAUAACGGAAAGCUUACCGGGCUGAAGCUGCUGCAGACACACCAACAACACCGAGAAACAUCACCGGAAACAUCACCGGAAACAUCACCGGAAGCACGUGUAGCCUCUGUCCCUGUGUGGUGAAACAGCUGGGUCGCGUCCCGCAUGCAGAGCGGGGUCAGCAGAGUAAACCCUGAUCCAUGAGGUGAGUUCUCCUGUGGGCUCUGGUCCAUCCUGACCCGGGAUCAGGCUGUAAUCCUCUAAAGAGCUUUAUCGGGCUAAGUUUGUCCCCGGACUGUGACACACGGCGCUCUGCAGCUCGCCAUGAUGCAGAUAUCUGACUCCUACAACCAGAAGAACUCUCUCUUCAACGCCAUGAACCGCUUCAUCGGCGCCGUCAACAACAUGGACCACACGGUGAUGGUGCCCAGCCUGCUGCGGGACGUCCCAUUGGACGACGCAGAGGACGCGAAGGCGCCGGUGACCGCCUCAAACAGCCUCGCCACAAACAGCCCCGCCUACCUCCAACAGGAAGGAGACAUGUACGGCUCGUACGUGCUGCUCAAGUCCAUCCGCAACGACAUCGAGUGGGGCGUCCUGCAGGGCGAGGAGCGGCGGAAGGAGAAGGUGGGCGUGGCCGAGGGGGCGCAGGAGGACGACCUGGAGAAACAGUUUCACUUCCACCUGAGCGGACUCCACGCCGUUCUGUUGAAACUGACGCGUAAAGCCGACACGCUCACCACCCGUUACAAGGAGGAGAUCGGCUGCAGGAACUGACCCAGAACCUGCAGAGGUCUCGAACCCGCAGACGCACGCCUGUGGGACCCAGAACCCGCAGAGGUCUCGAACCCGCAGACGCACGCCUGUGGGACCGAGAACCCGCGGAGGUCUCGAACCCAGACGCACGCCUGUGGGACCGAGAACCCGCAGAGGUCUCGAACCCGCAGACGCACGCCUGUGGGACCGAGAACCCGCAGAGGUCUCGAACCCGCAGACGCACGCCUGUGGGACCGAGAACCUGCGGAGGUCUCGAACCCGCAGACGCACGCCUGUGGGACCCAGAACCCGCAGAGGUCUCGAACCCGCAGACGCACGCCUGUGGGAC